UACGUAGGGUGCAGGCGUUAAUCGGAAUUAUUGGGCGUAAAGCGUGCGCAGGCGGUUUCUUAAGUCAGAUGUGAAAGCCCCGGGCUUAACCUGGGAACUGCGUUUGAAACUGGGAGACUUGAGUGUGGCAGAGGGGGGUGGAAUUCCACGUGUAGCAGUGAAAUGCGUAGAUAUGUGGAGGAACACCGAUGGCGAAGGCAGCUCCCUGGGUUAACACUGACGCUCAGGCACGAAAGCGUGGGGAGCAAACAGG
rnacentral:rRNA from 1 species